GCCUGUGCAGCUGAGUAGUCAAAGGCGCUUGAAUUUGUAUUGCAAGGGUCGCAGGUUCGAAUGCCGCCAUACGGCG